CUACGUGCCAGCAGCCGCGGUAAUACGUAUGUCACGAGCGUUAUCCGGAUUUAUUGGGCGUAAAGCGCGUCUAGGUGGUUAUGUAAGUCUGAUGUGAAAAUGCAGGGCUCAACUCUGUAUUGCGUUGGAAACUGUGUAACUAGAGUACUGGAGAGGUAAGCGGAACUACAAGUGUAGAGGUGAAAUUCGUAGAUAUUUGUAGGAAUGCCGAUGGGGAAGCCAGCUUACUGGACAGAUACUGACGCUAAAGCGCGAAAGCGUGGGUAGCAAACAGGAUUAGAUACCCUGGUAGUCCACGCCGUAAACGAUGAUUACUAGGUGUUGGGGGUCGAACCUCAGCGCCCAAGCAAACGCGAUAAGUAAUCCGCCUGGGGAGUACGUACGCAAGUAUGAAACUCAAAGGAAUUGACGGGGACCCGCACAAGCGGUGGAGCAUGUGGUUUAAUUCGACGCAACGCGAGGAACCUUACCAGCGUUUGACAUC
rnacentral:rRNA from 1 species